rnacentral:rRNA from 1 species
ACGCUUCUUGUUUUUCUCUCAACUCACCCGUGCACCUAAUGUAGGAUGCCUCUCCUCCGGGAGGGGGGACCUAUGUCUUCGUAUACAUCUUCGUGUAGAAAGUCUUUGAAUGUUUACUAUCAUCGAGUCGCGACUUCUAGGAGACGCGAUUCUUUGAGAUAAAAGUUAUUACAACUUUCAGCAACGGAUCUCUUGGCUCUCGCAUCGAUGAAGAACGCAGCGAAAAGCGAUAUGUAAUGUGAAUUGCAGAUCUACAGUGAAUCAUCGAAUCUUUGAACGCACCUUGCGCUCCUCGGUGUUCCGAGGAGCAUGCCUGUUUGAGUGUCAGUAAAUUCUCAACCCCUCUCGAUUAGCUUCGAGAGGGUGCUUGGAUGGUGGAGGUUGCCGGAGACUCGGAUUCGUCCAAGACUCGGGCUCUUCUGAAAUGCAUCGGCUUGCGGUCGACUUUCGACUAUGUGCGACAAGGCUUUCGGCGUGAUAAUGAUCGCCGUUCGCUGAAGCGCAUGACCGAAGGUUCCGUGCCUCUAAUAAGUCGACCACUUACUAUCUCUCCGGAGAGAACAGGGUCUUCCUAAUUGACU